rnacentral:rRNA from 1 species
UAUCGUCUAUUUGAUAGUACCUUACUACUUGGAUAACCGUGGUAAUUCUAGAGCUAAUACAUGCUGAAAACCCCGACUUCGGAAGGGAUGUAUUUAUUAGAUUAAAAGCCAAUGCCCUUCGGGGCUCCCUGGUGAUUCAUGAUAACUGCUCGAAUCGCACGGCCUUGCGCCGGCGAUGGUUCAUUCAAAUUUCUGCCCUAUCAACUUUCGACGGCUGGGUCUUGGCCAGCCGUGGUGACAACGGGUAACGGAGGGUUAGGGCUCGACCCCGGAGAAGGAGCCUGAGAAACGGCUACUACAUCCAAGGAAGGCAGCAGGCGCGCAAAUUACCCAAUCCCGACGCGGGGAGGUAGUGACAAUAAAUACUGAUACAGGGCUCUUUUGGGUCUUGUAAUUGGAAUGAGUACAAUUUAAUUCCCUUAACGAGGAACAAUUGGAGGGCAAGUCU